rnacentral:rRNA from 1 species
AUUGAACGCUGGCGGCAGGCCUAACACAUGCAAGUCGAGCGGAGCGCGGGACGGGGGAGUAAUGCCUAGGAAUGUGCCUGUUAGUGGGGGAUAACGCCCGGUAAUGGGCGCUAAUACUGCAUACUAUCAGAUGAGCCUAGGUCGGAUUAGCUAGUUGGUGGGGUAAAGGCCUACCAAGGCGACGAUCCGUAACUGGUCUGAGAGGAUGAUCAGUCACACUGGAACUGAGACACGGUCCAGACUCCUACGGGAGGCAGCAGUGGGGAAUAUUGGACAAUGGGCGAAAGCCUGAUCCAGCCAUGCCGCGUGUGUGAAGAAGGUCUUCGGAUUGUAAAGCACUUUAAGUUGGGAGGCGUUACCAACAGAAUAAGCACCGGCUAACUUCGUGCCAGCAGCCGCGGUAAUUC